CCAGCUCAGGCUAGGAGCUUGCAUCCUGUUGCCCCAACCCAGUCCUUCAGAACAGAGUGUACUCAAAGCUCCAGGACAAAAAUCUGGAAGCAGAGAGCCGGCUUGCAUUUGGACUGAGGCUGAGUGAUGAAAAGAGCAGACAGAGAAAACAACAAGUUCAAAGUUCCUGAGAAAUGAAGAACGGAGGAAUAAUACAUCUGUAUGACCUGAGAAACUGUCCCAGGCUAGGCAUGGUGGUGCACACCUUUGAUCCCUGAACCCUGAAGGUGGAAAACAAGGAUCUCUGGCGACCCACCGGAGGGAGCUGCUGGAGGCUUAUGAGAAACAUAGAUUCUCAAGCCUUAUCCCAGGCUUCAUGAAUCAGAACCUUCCCUUGAAGAAGCUCCUGGUCAUCCGUGUGUUCCUAUCUUUGAACAGACACUGCCCUGAGCACCAAAUGAGUGGCUGUCAAUUUGGAGCCUGCAUAAGGACUUCUCACCCCGCCCCAUCCUCUGGAGGCAGGCUGCUGGCAACUGUGGCUGGCACAUCUGGUGCUCCUCUCUGCCUACCUUGAUGACUCAGACAAAUGACUGAGUCAGAUAGUUUGUCUCUCCAGCCCUUGAAUGCUGCCUGGAACAUAGCAGGCACUCGAUAAAUAUUCAGUGCAUGAAUGCUGAACAAAUCUUAUGCUAUCUUCUUUUUUCAAUUAAAGCACUGGGGUACAGGGGACCUCUGCUUCUGGACAUAAAUUGCAAGUUAUUUUGAAGGAUUUUUGUGUUCUUAGUAAAGACUCCUGGAAGAACUUCCAUUGUCUAAUGAGCAAUUACUGG
rnacentral:lncRNA from 1 species